rnacentral:rRNA from 1 species
CAGGUCGAGCGGUAAGGCUCCUGCAGUUUAUUUGAUUAUGAUAACUUUGGUUAUCGUAGCAAACCAAAUCAACCCCGGCUAGGGAAGAUAUGGGGCGGGAAAAUCGAAUAAAGUGUUGGANUACACGAGCGGCGGACGGCUGAGUAACGCGUAGGAACGUACCCCAAAGUGAGGGAUAAGCACCAGAAAUGGUGUCUAAUACCGCAUGUGAUCUAAGGAUUAAAGCUUCGGCGCUUUGGGAACGGCCUGCGUAUGAUUAGCUAGUUGGUGAGGUAAUAGCUCACCAAGGCGACGAUCAUUAGCUGGUUUGAGAGGAUGAUCAGCCAGACUGGGACUGAGACACGGCCCAGACUCCUACGGGAGGCAGCAGUAGGGAAUUUUCCACAAUGGGCGAAAGCCUGAUGGAGCAACGCCGCGUGCAGGAUGAAUGCCUUCGGGUUGUAAACUGCUUUUAUAUGUGACGAUUAUGACGGUAGCAUAUGAAUAAGGAUCGGCUAACUCCGUGCCAGCAGCCGCGGUCAUACGGAGGAUCCAAGCGUUAUCCGGAAUUACUGGGCGUAAAGAGUUGCGUAGGUGGCAUAGUAAGCGGACAGUGAAAGCGUGUGGCUCAACCAUACACACAUUGCCCGAACUGCUAAGCUAGAGUAUGAGAGAGGUAGAUGGAAUUCCCUGUGUAGGAGUGAAAUCCGUAGAUAUAGGGAGGAACACCGAUGGCGUAGGCAGUCUACUGGCUCAUUACUGACCUAAGGCACGAAAGC